rnacentral:rRNA from 1 species
GCGCCAGGGAACUACGAGCAAUGCUUAAAACCCAAAGGAUUUGACGGUGUCCCACCCAGCUAGAGGAGCCUGUUCUUUAAUCGAUGAUCCCCGCUACACCUGACCAUUUCUUGCUCAUCAGUCUGUAUACCUCCGUCGAAAGCUUACCAUGUGAACGUCUUCAGUAGGCUCAAUGAUCAUAAUUACAUCAAUACGUCAGGUCAAGGUGCAGCUUAAGAAAUGGGAAGCAAUUGGCUACAAUUUCUAAUAUAGAACAACGAAAGGCUAUGUGAAAUCAUAGCAGCGAAGGUGGAUUUAGUAGUAAAAAGAAAAUAGAGUGUUCUUUUUAACCCGGCUCUGGGAUGCGU